rnacentral:lncRNA from 1 species
GUGGGAGGGUGAUUAACAGGGGAAGAAUUAGGAAAGAGGACACGCAAGACCACAGUAAGAGAUGGAAAUAAGAGAAUAUUCCUGAUUUCCACUGGAUGACUUUGACUGGUAUGAUUUCAUUCUCUGAAAGUGUUAACCAGGGUGCAGCAUGGCCAGAAACCAUUCCGAGCCUCAUGAAGUGGGCAAGUCAGGUUUGGUCAUUUUUGGUAAUGUCAUUGCAUGUACACAGUUUAAGACAGAGCAUCUGGUGAUUCUCGGACCUUCAAGCAAGUGUCACAUCUCAGGUGAACCUUGGCAGUUUUAAGAUGAACAAAGUAAUCAAAGCAAAAAUGUCAAAUAAUAAUAAUAAUAAUGAUAUCAGAAGAAUGUCCAGUGCCAUGGUUGGAUUCCCAGAAGGCAGCAUCUGCUCAUGCCAUCAACAACAUGGUGCCAUUUCAGUCAUCCUCUUUUUGUCCCAAAGACAGAAAAAAAAUAGAAAAAAGAAAGAGAAAAAGACACCACGAACCGUCUAUCCUCCUGGGUGUGAGGUUUGGAGGGCCUCUCGUCAAAACUUUGGAGGGCUCUGUCAGUUUGAAAAGAACAUGACCUUUAAAUUGUAUCAGUAUGUUUGCUGGUGCAUAAGGGAGAGGAAAAGGUUCGUCCUGAUGGAAAACCACUCAGAAGCCAAGGAGUAAUUCAGAGGGAACCAGCCCAGGAAGAAUCAAGAAAGCUGCCCACAGUGUCAUUCUUCAGCUGAGAAAAGAGAGAGUUGACUAACUCCUCGGACUGGAGUGAGGACUCACAGAGGUGGUAGGACACUAACCAUCUAUGUCUCCAUUUCCUGGGUUGUAACACUGAGGUAGAACAUCUCACUGUCCCAUGGAGGAUUAUGUUAUUUUUGGAGAUUAAUAAUUUUGGAGGAAGAAAGGUGGCUUCCUGAAAAGGAAGUCACAUGAAGAAGCAACUUACACGGUGGUCUCUUUAAAUAAACAUAUUGUGACUAGACAAUGUAU